rnacentral:rRNA from 1 species
CAAGCGGUGGAUUAUGUUGUUUAAUUCGACGCAACGCGAAGAACCUUACCAGGCCUUGACAUACUCGGCAAAGCUCUAGAGAUAGAGUGGAGGUUAUCCGGGAUACAGGUGGUGCAUGGUUGUCGUCAGCUCGUGUCGUGAGAUGUUGGGUUAAGUCCCGCAACGAGCGCAACCCUUGUCUUUAGUUACCAUCAUUCAGUUGGGACUCUAGAGAGACUGCCGGUGAUAACCGGAGGAAGGUGGGGAUGACGUCAAAUCAUCAUGCCCCUUAUGGCCUGGGCUACAAACGUAAUACAAUGGCGUAUACAAAGGGAUGCGAAAGGGCGACCUGGAGCAAAACUCACAAAGUACGUCUCAGUUCAGAUUGGAGUCUGCAACUCGACUCCAUGAAGGCGGAAUCGCUAGUAAUCGCGGAUCAGCAUGCCGCGGUGAAUACGUUCCCGGGCCUU